GCCGAGAGGGUAGCCUUUAGCAUCAAACAGCACAGGUUCAAAUUCCAGCCCCUCCGUUUACCAUCUGUGUAACCUGGAGCAAUUUACUUAACCUCUCUCUCAAAUACAGAUGGACCAACAGCACCUAUUGACCCAAGCAAAGGUAUUGAGGGACCGCUGACAUUCUGCAAGGCCCAGCAUAGGUGUGCUGGGAUUUACAUGUGCAAACCAGCCAGUUUUUAUGUGGAUUCUGGGGAUCGCUAUCAGACUUACUGGCGCUGAGCCAUAUCACCAGCCUUGUUUGUGAAACAGUAUCUCCAAGGCACAGGACACUAUUCAGAACCCAAACCCACUUAUCGGCAGCUGAAUAAACAAAAGUGAGGACUUGAGCGCCGCCUGGUGGUCAGACUAGUUAAACCAAUGCCUUUGAACCUUACUUGAACCUUUCUUGGUCUGCCUGGCUUCAGCCUGAGAACCUUGCAACUUUGGUAAGGUUGGCAAUCUGGGCACACCCCUGACCGGGGCAACUGAAAUCUUUGAUGAAGGAAGAAAUGAAACUUUGAAAUCAGUAGGCUCAGGUAAAAGACUGGAGCAUUGAGGGAAACACUGGUUUCUAGAAAUUUCUGCCUUCCUGCUCUUUAUUGUCACUAUCCCAGGAUGACCUGGGGCGUCAGAGAACUAGCUUCUCAAUGCAUGAGAUUUCCUUGGACCCUGUUACAGCCAGAGUGCCAGGGAAUAAAGAAAGAACGAACACUCUUGGAGACCAGAGGGAGCUCCACUAGGGAGCUCACAGGUAGCAUGUCCCCCUAAGGAGGAAGAGGACCAGCUCUGCCUCCCACCAACUGGAUCCCUCCAGAUUUACACCCCACCUUCGCUGAUAUAGUCAGAAAGAAGCACCAAAUGCUGACAUAAUAUUGUAGGUGGGAAGAGAUGACAAUGGGCAAUGACUUAAAAUACUAUGCUAGCGUCUGGAACAGUCUUCAGUAUUCUAAAUUUGCAAAGGUAAAUAAAUGAUGAAGCAAGCACCGUGCUUGGAGAGUUGUGCAUUGCCCCCUGGGAGUUCUUCCGUAGGACAGACUUUAGGUGUCAGGUUCUUCUACCAGUCUCAAUGCUCUGCUUGCUGGAAGAGCUGGACCUGUCAACAGUGGGCUGGGCCCUUCUUCACCCUGCCUACAGCCCCAGGGGGAUCCUCCAUUCUGACUUUUAGGACCUUCUUCUUUGUCAGUACCCAGCUCUUGUGUGGAGCUGGGACAUAAAAAGAGUUGGUAGGAGAUGAACAAAAAGACCAGAUUCCAUCAAAAGGGCGGAUCCCAGUGUCCUCAAGGCCUACUCCUGCCCAUAGCGCCCGUGUCUUCCCCUCCAGCUCCCUUAUGAAGCAGACAGGCUCUUGCAGUGGGCUGAGCAAAGGAAGCCAAAAUGAAGCAGGCGGUCAUUUUCUGCCCAUGCUGCGUGCAGCCUAUUGGGCAUCCCAGGGCUCACUACCUCGGAUGGGCAAGGGCCUCUGUUCCCUUGCCUUGCUCCUCUACAUGGAUCCUCACACAUUCACUCUCUCCCACUUGCUUACCGGAACCUGCGCAGAACUGUAUCACUUGCUUGUCGCAGAGGAGGAAACUGAGGAACUGAUGGGCAGUGUAUUCUUCGUGAGAAGAGAAGUGGACGUAUCACCUUCAGCUCUGAACAUGAGUGACUUUCCCACAGCGCCCCAUCUGCUUCCUUUUAGCUCUUUGAGCACUCGAGUCUCUCCUUAGGUGAUGCCACUACCUCAGUGAUGUAAGCUGGCUGUGCAUCCCCCGAGGCUGGGCUGUUGACAAGUGGAAUAAUUCUCCCUAAGCACAGAAUUGGACGUUAUUGCCUUAGCACAUGGCUACGCUGGGGAAGGAGCGCAGUUUUAUAAUGUGCCUUUGGCUUCUGCGGCUCCCAUGAAGAGGUAUGACAUCUGAGACAACCAUGCUGUGAGGAAAUUCUGGCAACAUAAAAAGUCAUUUUCUCUCUUCGUUAUUCCGGUCCACUAGAUGACAGAUGCAUGGACACUGUUGGGCAACUGAAAUACCAGAAGCUUCUUUUUCACAGUUCUGGAGACUAUGAAGUCCACGAGGAAGCGGGUAAAUAAUCUGGCUCUCUGUCAAGGCUCUUGUGCUAUGCAGACACCUGCUUCCUUGCUGUGUCUCACAGGAUUGGGAGAGAAUGAUCUCCCCCCCCCCCAUUUCUUAUAAAGCUGCUAAUCCCACCACUCCCUCAUGAUUUACCUUCAUGACCUCCUCUUAUUCAGGAUAAGAAGAUUCAGUACAAAUAUAGUCAACAUAUGAACAGAGGAGGCAACAUAAUCCCACCCAUCAAAUUCUCUCAACUCCUAAAUCCUUCAACCAACUGAAGGUCCUAGAUGUAUUAGAGCACUGAUAUUAACAAAACAAAACCAAAAUCUCACUGUUCCAUUCUUUUUUCAAACUCCAAGCCCACAGAAUUUAUAAGCACAAUGAAAUAGUUGCUUUAAUCCGCACUUCCUUAAGUUAAUUUGUUAUGACCUAAUGUACACUCAUGACUGGUUGUGUACAUGUGCAUGGUGGGGGGUGGGGGUGGCUGAUGCACCUGCUUUUGAAAAGGUGCUGUCAGGGUAUUACAGAAAGAGAGCAGAAGAAGAACAGAGGAUGAGGGGGUCAAGCGCCAUUACGUGCUGGAAAAGACAUGGGAUGGCGACUUCUUCACAGCACCCAUACACUAGCCUUUACUAAAGGUACAGGCUACUUGGAAUACUCGUAUGCACAACACCCAAGGCAAGGCUCAUGCACUGGACACUGCAAUGGAAUGUAGUAAAAAUCAUUCUCAGGGCAGGAGAUCCAGCACAGAAAGUAAAGGAGCAGCAUCUGCUUGCGACCCCGGUGCUAGGAAGGUGGGGACAGGAUGAUCCCCCGGCCCCCACUGGCCUGGCUAGUCUAGCCUAACUAAGUGAUCUUCAGGUCCAUGAGAAAUUCUUCCAUAAAGGGGGAUCCAUAGUGUUCCCGAGAGUGAUAAUCAAGACUUCCCUUUGGCGUUCACAAACGUGAACACUAAUGUGCAUGCACACUUUCACACACACACACAUGCAUACACACACACACACACCUGAACACAUAUGAACAUGCAUCCAUAUACACACUCAUUCUCACUAGGGGAUAAUGAUAGUAGGCCACAGGUUAAGAAAGACCAGUCAGGAUCAAGAGAAGAGCGUGGGACACAAACAACUGCUACUUAGAUCAGAUAGCGUCACACAACUAAAGCUGCCCAGUGUCCUCCACUAGGAGAAACCUUUGGCUGAACAGAGAAUUUUCUCUAGCCCGAGUUUUUGUUAGAUAAAAUCCUGAGUAAGACCAUGUAAGCCUUCAAUCACUAUUUAGUAUGAAACAUGAGCCGAGAGUAAGUGCAUCAAGAAAAGACUUUGGAGAGGAGGGAGAACAGAGAGGCUGGAGAAGGUCCAGGUGCACGUGCAACCUUCUCAAGAGCUGGGAAGUUUGUGUCUAAAGCCAGAGGAAGCUAACCUUAGAGUCUGUCUAAUGCCAUCUAUUUCACUAUAAUUAUUUACUUCUCUCUCUCUCUCUCUCUCUCUCUCUCCUCUCUCUCUCUCUCUCUCUCUCUCUCUGUGUGUGUGUGUGUGUGUACCUAUGGCGGUCAGAGGACAAUGGGCAGGAGUUGGCUCUCUCUUUCAACCUUGGAGAUUGAACUCAGGUCGUCCGACUUGGCAGCACGUUCCUUCACUAGCUGGUGAUCUCAUGGGCCCUUUUUUCCUUUCAGAGAUUUUUUUCUAGUACAGCAUAUUGGGUACCCGAAGCCUUGUUUGUGUUACAUGAUAACCAGACUCCAUGCAAACAACUCAUGUUGUCCUUUUGAGAAUUAAUCUGGGGACACCGAUGUGGGAAGGUUACAGGUGACGCUCCCACCACCUCAACAUCCCCUUGGACAUGUAGAGCUGCUGGUCAGGUAACUAUAGUAACUGACCCAUUUACAUCAUCUGUCAGUCCUCUAUGGUUUCCCCAGCCCAUAAGCCGCUACAAACGCCCUCCUUUCUACCCAAAGAAUGGCCACAGAGUUUUGAUUUGGAUACGAUUUUAAUAUUGAUUCUAGAAAGAGUAGAUGCAAUAAGAAAUGUGAGCCACAGGGAGUGGCAUGUUGGGAGGUGCAAAAGCUGAGCCUGCAGGUGCCACACGUAUGAAGCAGAACGGCCUAUGACUGUGUAGAACAGUGUCUUUGUGCAUGGCAGAUGCUGUGUAAGUGGCAUUUCCUCCUCCUUUGGACAUGAUGCCCCUAAGGACUGAAGCAACCUGGGAAGACUUUGGUUUCCUGCCCACAGUCUCCUCAUCUCCUAAUUUCCCUCCAGUUCCUUCUCUUCUCUUUUCUCCCCCUCGUCAUUCGACUUUUCCCUUUCUUCCUUCCUCCCUUCCUGCUCACUAUCAUUUAUGAUUGCUUUUCUUUGCUGUUUUAGAUUUUUCUCACUUGAUUUUUGUUUUUUUUCCUGCGAAUCUCUCCUUCCUUCUUUCCUCUUUUAGCAUCCCACAAGUCAUUGUUCUGUGUUAAUAACUCAACAAAGACAGAAAUCACACACACGCCUCUGUAUGAGUAAUCUUUUGUCUCCGUAGAAAGACUGAGAAGUCACAGAACCCCAGGGAAAGCCUUGGGAGUCUCACUGGGCCUGGCCUUGUCUCGGUGUUUUCCAUUCUUCAGUUCGGAGCUUCGCUCGAUUGAUUUUCCCUGUGAUGGUCUUGGGCAGGUUCGAGACAAACUCCACCUGGUGUGAGAAAUUAGAUCAGCGUGGGUUGACCACAGUGGCAUUGGACUUUUUUUUUUUUUUUUUUUUUUUUAGGAGUUGCUGUAAGCAUCAGCUCUUAAGGCUGGAGUGUCUAGAUACAUAACGGGGGAGUAUGGAGAUGUUCUGACGUCAGCUCUGUCUGCAAGAAGCCUCAGAAGGUCUCUGGACACCAGGGCAGGAAGAAGAUGGCUAACCCAGAGCGGGGAGGACCAGAGCAUUGGACUUUAUAUGUAGUCUCAACGAGAGAAGCAGUAAAAUGAACAUGGCGUGGCCCACAGGCAGACACCUGAACUUCCAUAACAAGCUCUGUAGGCUUCAGUUCCUACUCAAGUCAACUUUGGAAGGUCCCUGGAAGUCUCCAAGACUCAACUUAACUAUUAAGUACACUAAGGGACGGUAAUAUCUUUAGGUUGUUGUGGAGAUAUUAAGAGGUUGUUCAUGGAGUGGACAUGCAUGAAUGGCAGCUGUGGCCAUUCAUCUGAGCUAGAAGAGACAUCUGAAAUAGACAUCUAACUGGGGACCUGGCUUUGAAUUUUGUCUCAGUUCUUAUGUGUGGUUGGCCAAGCUACACAGUCUCACCGAUGCCAGCAUUCUCUCAUUUGAAGUGAAGGACCCACUCUGAUAUUCCCGAGUAUUAAGCUGUAGAUGUUGACAAUUCAUUGAGAGUUUCACUUAAGUGACUCCGCUGGCUAUGGCAUUAAUCUGGGGAUUGGUUGUCUGUAGAGCUAAUAAAAGGUAUUCACUGGGAUUCUGGUAAAGAAAACCUAUAUUC